rnacentral:rRNA from 1 species
AUGAGGUGGCACAGCGAAGGCUGCACAAAGGACGGCUUGAUACGACACCCAGCUGGUUCACCUGCAUGGAAACACUUUGAUGCUAUUCACAAAGACUUCAGUUCAGAAGUUUGCAAUGUUAGAUUUGGAUUGGGAGCUGAUGGUUUCAACCCUUUUGGAAAUAUGAAUCUCUCAUAUAGCAUAUGGCCUAUCGUCUUGAUCCCCUACAACCUUCCUCCAUGGAUUUGUAUGAAGCAAUCAAACUUUAUCCUCUCUGUCAUCAUUCCUGGUAAAAAAUCUCCAGGGAAAGACAUGGAUGUUUACAUGCAGCUGACCAUAGAUGAUCUUCUGGAUCUUUGGAAUGAUGGAGUCUGGACUUAUGAUGCCUCUCGAUCUAAGAAGUUUAUCUUACGUGCCGCACUACUAUGGACAAUAAGUGAUUGGCCUGGGCGUGGAUCAUCGUCUGGAGAAAAUAUAGUAGUUUGCUCCCAUUGUCUAUCAGAGACAUGCUCUCUUUGGUUAAAGAAUGGACAUAGGAAAUGCUAUAUGGGACAUCGCAGAUUCUUGGAACCUAAUCACGAGUUUCGAUUUGAUGCUGAGUCAUUUGAUGGUUUUGAGGAACAUCGAGAGCCUCCCGUUCCCCUUUCAUCACAUGCUAUUUCAAUAUUGACAAAGGACAUGAAAACUACAUAUGGGAAACUGCAGCAGAAGAGCAGCAGGAAGCGACACCGUAAUCAGGUAGAUGAGAAUGAUAUAAGCGUGCAACAAGACACUUCAAUAUUCAGAAAGAGAAGUUGCUUCUUUCAGCUGCCAUACUGGGAAACACUUCUAUUGCGUCAUAAUCUGGAUCCUAUGCACAUAGAGAAGAAUGUGUUUGAGAAUAUUGCCCAUACCCUUCUGAAUGUUAGCAAAAGAUCAAAGGAUAAUCUAAAUGCAUGUCUUGACCUACAACAAUUGAAUAUACGCCAAGACCAACAUCCAGAUUUAACUGGGAGUAAACCAUACCUACCUCCAGCAUUAUACUACUUGGAUUCACACGGUGCUAAGAUGUUUUGCCAGGUUCUAAAGGAUGCUAGGUUUCCUGAGGGCUAUGCAUCCAACUUGCACAACAAAGUGGAUAUAGUGAGAAAGAGAUUAAAUGGACUAAAGAGCCAUGACUGUCAUAUUAUAAUGAGUGAUCUGUUGCCCUUAGCCAUUAGGAGAACUUUGCCUGAAGAUGUUUGUAUUCCAUUGAUGCGUUUGUGCAACUACUUCAAGCAAUUAUACUCUAAGGUUAUCAAUGUGAGUGAGAUACAAAAGUUGGAGGAUGAGAUUCCUGAAAUCAUGUGCCAAUUGGAGAAAGUAUUUCCUCCUGCCUUUUUUGACAUCAUGGAACACUUGACCAUUCAUCUUGCAACUGAAGUACGGAUUGCUGGACUGGUGCAUUACCGAAGCAUGUGGGCUGUUGAGAGGUUUUUGGGCAAGCUAAAGAGUAUGAUCCAUACGCUAAGUCACCCAGAGGGAUCAAUAGCAGAGGGAUAUGUUUUGGGUGAUACUCUUACAUUUUGCUCAAGAUAUUUGCAUGGUUGUCCAACCAUAUUCACUCAAACAGGACGACAUAAUGAUUGUAUUGGCCCCAAUGACUCGACAAACCAUCAAACAUACUUGAGAAUAGUCGGUCGUCCUUUAUUUGGUCCUUGUGUUGAAGAACUAGACUACACGUCAUCGAUCCAAGCUCAAAGAUAUGUGUUGGUCAAUUACCCCCACAUUGCUCCAUAUGUCCAACAACAUCAUGAUAUUCUAUCAGCGGGUCAAGGCAAAAGGAUACGUGAUGUAGAACAUGACCAUCACAAUAGUUUCCACACUUGGUUUGCUGACCAUGUUCAAUCAUUGAUUUCCAGUAAUGUUAAGAUCCCUGCAGAAGUUAAAGUCUUAGCACAAAAGCCAUAUCGGAUGGUGAGAAAGUACAAUGCCUACUCUAUAAAUGGAUGCACUUUCCACACAAGGGGAUAUGGUGACGGAAAAGAAGCGCAAUGUGACGGAGUAUCUAUGAUUGCAAAGACAUCUAGUUUCUCAAGUGCUAAAGAUAAGAAUCCAGCUUUAGGAGAUGUUGUUUAUUAUGGCCGAAUCACUGAAAUAGUUGAGCUGAAUUAUUUAAACAAAGGCAGCAUGGUUUUAUUCAAGUGUGAUUGGGUCGACAGUGUUCACCCUGAUGCUGGGGUUCGAAAGGACCCAUAUGGAAUAACUGAGGUGAAUUUUAACCAUUUGCUAAGCAGUGGCAGCGACAUAUUUGAUGAGCCAUUUAUCCUCGCAACUCAAGCCACCCAAGUAUAUUAUGUACAAGAUUCUAUAGAGAAGGAUUGGUACGCUGUGGUUCAUCCACCUACAAGAGACUUCUUUGAUAUGGAGGCUAGAAUUGAUGGGCAUGAAGAAUAUUAG